rnacentral:lncRNA from 1 species
GUCGUUUUCGGUCGAAUUCGGCCACACUUGCAUCGGUCCCUGCGAUAAAACAACCCUAGGGCCCUCGGGGGGCCAAAAAAAUUACGAAAAACGGAAGCUUACCAGCGGCAGUGCUCUCGGGUGUGGCGACUCUCCGGUGUGGUUUGUGUUUUGGUGAUUUGGCUCCGGUCAACCUUUAGAGAAAAGAAUGAUGAUCAUGGUGAUAUAAAAAUUGUAUCAAACGGAGGCCAGGAAGGGCCUCAUCGGAGGCAAAAAUCGAGGAGGGGCGCGACAGCGCCGCUGGGUUUCGGUCGUGUUUUUCGGCCGUUUGGCCGGGAGUUUGACUCCGAUUUGGCCACAGGGGAACUCAGCAUUGAAAAACGAGCUGGGGGUAUGAAAUUUACCUCGAUCGGUGGUCGGAAAACUCCCCGGUGCAACGGCGGGCGGCGGCGGCCAGCUCCUCCGGCGUCUGGUUCGUCUUCUCCGGCGAGGGCUGGCGGCUAGGGUUUUUGUGGUCAGGUGUGGGGGGUUUAUUUAUACCCUUUGCCUUUUAAUCACAACCGUCCAUCUUGAUUUAACAUGGGUCGUUCGAUCGCGAUUUAAUUUGGAUUAAAUCUGGGCCGUCCAUCGCGAUUAAAUCUGGGCCGUCCGUACUUGAUUGAAUCUGGACCGUCUGUGCGCGUGCAUCUGGGCCGUUCGUGCGCGUGCAUCUGGGCCGUCCGUGCGCACGCUUGAUCUGGGCCGUCCGUGCAUGCGGAGAUGUAUUUUGGCUGUCCGAUCGCGCGCACGCGGAUCGCCCACGUGGCCCGCUUUCGGGUCGGCGUGGCCUUGCCACGCGGCAAGUCCUGGUUGGUCGGGGCUGCUGACUGGGCCGCUGACGGGGCACAAUUUUUUUAAAUUGCGUUUUGACCUCCGGUUUCCGAAUUUCUUUUCAAAAAUACCCCCAGAAUCCAAAUUUUCACCCCUUUUUUCCAAAAUCAAUUUCAAUUAAAUCCAAAUAAUAUUUUUACCCAAUUUUAUCAUUAUUAAUAUUUUUAUAUUCACAAAAAUUAAUUUGAAUUAAAUUAAAUAAAAAAAAAUAAAAUAGAAAAAAUUAUUUUAGGUGUUACAACUCUCCCUCCCUUAAGAAAUUUGGUCCCCCAAAUUUGCCUUUUACUCUUGGUCGAACAAAUGGGGAUAUUGGGCUCGAAAGUCUGAUUCUAUCUCCUAGGUAGCCUCUCUGGGCAUGUGGUUUUGCCACAUGACCUUUACAAAUGAUAUUUCCCUGUUGCGGAGUAUCCUGCUCUGUCGGUCCGUGAUACCAACGGGUACUUCUUCAUAAGACAAGUCCUCUUGGAGUGAAAGCAGUUCAUGAGUCAAGACAUGAGAAGGGUCAGGGUUGUACUUACGUAGCAUGGAUACGUGGAACACGUUGUGGACUCUGGAGAGCUCUGGAGGUAGUGCUAGUUUGUAGGCAACAGUACCAACCCUUUCUAGGAUUUCGAACGGCCCAAUAAAUCGGGGGUUCAGUUUUCCCCUCCUGCCGAACCUACUGAUCCCCUUAAAAGGAGUGACCUUAAGAAACACUCAGUCGCCUUUUUCAAACGCUAGAUCCCUCCUCCAGGUGUCUGCAUAACUCUUCUGUCUACUCUGGGCUGUCUGAAUGUUCUUUCUGAUUUUAGCUAUCUUCGAAGUGGUCUCCUCUACCAACUCCGGACCGAACAAUCUUCUGUCGCCCACUUCCUCCCAAUAAAUCGGUGAUCUGCAUGGGCGUCCAUAUAACGCCUCAUACGGAGCCAUGCCAAUGCUCACUUGAUAGCUGUUGUUGUAGGCAAACUCUAUCAGGGGUAAAUGGUCGUCCCAAUGGCCCCCAGAGUCAAGGGCAUAAGCUCAGAGCAUAUCUUCCAGUAUACGAAUUGUUCUUUCUGAUUGUCCAUCGGUCUGAGGAUGGAAAGCAGUGCUGAGGGACAGCUUUGUUCCCAUGGCUUGCUGGAAGCUAUUCCAAAACCGAGAGGUGAAUCUGGGGUCCCUAUCGGAUACCACUGUCACUAGGACUCCAUGCAAUCUGACUAUCUCCCGGAUAUACAUUCUUGCCAACUUGUCCAAAGAAUCAGUCAUUCUGAUGGCCAGGAAGUGGGAAGACUUAGUGAGUCGGUCAACAAUUACCCAUAUAGCAUCAUGUCCUGAUCGUGCCUUGGGUAGUCCUGAUACGAAGUCCAUGGUGAUAUGUUCCCACUUCCACUCUGGAAUCGGUAAAGGCUGAAGUAACCCACCUGGGCGUUGAUGUUCUUCUUUGACCUGCUGACAUACCAAGCACUUAGAUACAAAGUCAGCUAUAUCUCUCUUCAUCCCAUUCCACUAGAACCGAGGUCGCAUAGUUUGGUACAUUUUGGUACUUCCUGGAUGCAUGACAAACUUUGAACUAUGGGACUCCGUCAUGAUGUCUCUUUUUAACUCACUGUCGUCUGGGACACACACUCUAUCCUUGAAACGAAUCAAUCCAUCGGCAGAGAUUUGGAAUUCUGAACUCACUCUUUGUUCUGCAUCCUUCUUGCGGGUUACUAGGGCGGGGUCGACUGAUUGGGCUUCCUUUAUUCUUUGGAUUAACUCGGGUUGGACUGCUAGGUGGCCCAAACAUAUGGCCCUCUUCAGAUCUCGCAGUCGAACCUGUUGCGUGGCCCCAAUUGACCUGCAUUCUGAAACCAUCAAAUGGGCUAGGGUACCUGCACUUUUCUUGCUGAGGGCAUCGGCUACCACGUUGCCCUUACCUGGAUGGUAUAAGAUAUCACAAUCAUAGUCCUUGAGGAGUUCCAUCCACCUUCUCUGACGCAUGUUGAGAUCCUUCUGAGUGAAGAUGUGCUUCAAACUCUUAUGUAUAGAUUUGAAAGGUCUCUCCAUACAAAUAAUGGCGCCAGGUUUUCAAGGCAUGUAUGAUUGUGGCAAGCUCCAAGUCAUGGGUAUGAUAGUUCUUCUCAUGAUUCUUUAGUUGUCUGGACCCAUAUGCUAUAACCUUUCCAUGCUGCAUCAGGACACAACCCAGGCCCAGAUAGGAGGCAUCGCUAUAAACUGUAUACCCUCCUGAUCCACUCGGUAGAGCCAGCACGGGUGUAGUAGUCAGUCGCUUCUUCAAUUAUGAAAAACUCCUUUCGCAGUCCUCAUUCCAUUCAAACUUUGCAUUCUUCUUUUUGAGUCGGGUUAGAGGAGCUGCUAGGCUAGAGAACCCUUCGACGAACUGGCGGUAAUAACCUGCCAUCCCCAGAAAGCUGCGAGUUUCCUUAACUGCUGUCAGCUUUUCCCAACCAAGUACCGCUUCAACCUUUUCGGGGUUCACUGAUACCCUUUCCUUUGAUAUAACAUGUCCCAGGAAGGCGGUUUGCUCAAGCCAGAAUCCAUACUUGCUCAACUUUGCAUACAACUUCUUUUCCUUGAGGACCUGUAGGACUUGGGCAAGAUGAUGAGCAUGUUCUUCUCUACUUUUUGAGUAGACUAAGAUAUCAUCGAUGAACACGAUGACAAAUUGAUCUAAGAACUCUCUGAAGAUCCUGUUCAUUAGAUUCAUAGAGAUGGCCGGGGCGUUGGUAAGCCCAAACGGCAUGACCAGGAACUCAUAGUGUCCGUACCUGGUUCGGAAUGCCGUCUUGGGGAUGUCUUCUGUUCUUAUCUUUACCUGAUGGUAACCUGAUCGUAGAUCUAUUUUAGAAAAGACCUGUGCACCCUGCAACUGAUCGAAAAGGUCAUCAAUCCGGGGAAGAGGAUAUUUGUUCUUAAUUGUUACCUUGUUUAUCCCUCUGUAAUCAAUGCACAGUCUCAACGUUCCAUCUCUAUUCCUUACAAAAGUAACUCCGGCACCCCAAGGGGAAACGCUGUGUCUAAUGAAACCACUGUCUUGUAACUCAGUGAUAUGUUUCCUUAGUUCUUCCAUCUCAAUGCAGUUCAUUCGGUAAGGAGCAACCGAGAUGGGCUGGGUACCUGGCUGUAAGUCUAUAGUGAACUUGACCUCUCUGUCCACUGGUAGACCUACAUCCGAAAAUACGUUUGGAAAGUCUCAGACUACUGGAAUCUCUUGGAUACAAACUUCUUUCUUGGGCUUACCUAGUUAGAGAAAAUACAAUAUUAAGGCACUGGGAAUUAAGAAAACUUGCCAUCAAGGAAAAUCAGUACUGAAUGAUUUUAUUAACUUGUAAAUGGCUCCUCGUUGGGAGGAUUAAAUACAACCUUUUUGUUAAAGCAGUCUAUGGUGGCUUGAUAUGCCGCUAGCCAAUCCAUUCCUAGGAUUACAUCAAAAUCUCCCGUGUCUAGCCCUAUCAGGUCUACCCUCAGUUUCCUAUCUGUUAUCUCCACGGCACAUGCCCUGUAGAUAACCUCUCCUAGCAAUGUCUCCCCCCCAGCAGUAGAUACAAGCAACAAUGAAUCAAGUCUAUCAGGUGAUACAUAAAUUUUGGAAGCAAUAACAUGUGAAACAAAAGAAUGUGAUGCACCAGUGUCAAACAAAACAUGAGCAAUGUGGCCAGAUAUAGUAUACAUACCAUGUACCACGUCCGGGUCUGCGUCGGCAUCCUUCUGGGUAAGGUUGUAAACUCUGCCCUGGAUUGGAGGCCUUCUUUGAUUCUGGUUCCUCGGACAUUCCCUUGCAUAGUGCUGGGCACUGCUGCAUAUGCGACGAAUGUUGCUGAGGCGGUAGCAAGGUCGGUCCCCAUGAUCCCUGCCGUAGUGCUGGCAGAUCUUCCCACGUGCUGUCCCCGUAGCCUCAGGAGGGGCCUGGAUGGCGGGUCUGGACCUCUUACUGGGUUGGACAGGUGCAGUAGGUGCUGGCCUGCGGAGUGGGGCUGAGGGUCGGGAACUCCCCGCUAGCCGAGGGUGGGUGUCGAAGCUCCUUUCUAUGAUCUGCACCUUUGCUAGGACUGCUGAAUAUGUCUCGAGCUCCAUUACCAGUAAGUGCUGUCUGAUCUCCGGGCGGAGACCCCACUGGAAUUUCCUGGCCUUUCGGCCCUCAUCCAUCAAUGUCUCCGGGGCAUAUCGGCCCAGCUCCAGGAACUUACGGGCAUACUCCGACACUGUCAUGUUUCCUUGGACCAAUUGAGCAAACUCCAUUUCCUUUAGGUGUCGGAUGUGUUUAGGGAGAUACUCCACGUGGAAGGCCGCUAAGAACUGCUCCCAAGUAGCUGGUGUAGGUAGGGUGGUCCGCUUGGGCUCCCACCAGCGUACUGCUUCCUCUACCAGCAUGUAGGAGGCAAUGGCAGCCCUCUGCUCAGGAACUACUCCCAAGGUCUCGAAAGCUCUCUCAGUCUCUGCCAGCCAGUAUUGGGCCUCUUUAAAAGAGGAUCCCCCUGCAAAAGUAGAAGGGUUCAGUCUUUUGUACCUCUCUAUGAAGCCGGGGUCGAUCAAGGAAGGAGCGGGGUCCCGAGGUAGAGGGACUGGGGCCGGCUGAGGGUGAACUGGGGGGCCCUGUGGUGGCACUUGCUGAUGUGGUGGGGGUACUGGAAUGUGCUGUGGCGGUGCCUGGUGGUACUGUGGCUGUGGUACCGGGUCGUACCGCGGCUGUGGUGCCGGGUGGUACUGUGGAGGAGCAGGCUCCUACCGGGGUGGCUCGGGAUCAGCCUGCUGUAGCGGGGGCUCAACCUGCGAUAGCGGAGGAGGUCCGGGUAACUCCCUUCUCUCCUCUCACCUUUGCUGGGCAGCUACGAGAGCUUCCACCAUCUCAAAUAGUCUGUCUAAAUCCUCCCGAAGCGAAUUAUCUUGGGCCGCUCGGUUUAGUGGGGGCCUUCCUCUCCUCAUUUCCAUGUACUUGCAUUCACAAGGAAUGGUUGAGUAAUGAUCUAUCGGUGAGUAUUUCUCUAAGGCACUAUUGUGUAAGGGAUGGGUCCGAGGAAACGCGGCUCUAAUAGCAACUGGAACAGCCCUGGAAAAAUUUAAUAUUGGAAAGGCAUAUAUAUAGAUAAAUAAUCUGAAUUUGCGGAAGCGUAUUAAACAUUGCAAUUAACAUCCCUUACGUAAUACCAAAACGUGUUCAACAAAUGAGGGAAUAAACUAAUUAAAAUAAAUGCUCGAAAGUAAGAACUACAAUUAUAACUAUGGGAUCUUUAGGCGUCCCCUUCGCCGUCUUCCUGCGGAACGGGCUCGGGAACCACGUCUUCCUGAUCUGAAAUGGUUAAGUAAGGAGUGAGCUAUACUAGCCCAGUAAAGACAUCACUCUACCUCACUGCCACAGGAGUAAGGGUGGGUAGAAAACAAAAACGACCAAUGGAGCAUAAUUUGUAAUAAACCUAUUUGUUCAUAAAAACGUUUACUUUCCAUUUACCUGGGUGAGAUCCAUAAAACAAUACACAAGCAACACAUUAUCAUCAUCACGUUAUCACAUAGACUUUAUAAUACAACAUUUAUCACGCGUUUAUAUUUCAAUUUUUAAACAGCAUAAUUCCUCUUUACCAGCCUACUAGUAUCCAUGGGGAUCCAUAGGGGUCCCGCUACCCGUGAACCCUUAACAUUUAUAACCUGAUUCCAGGGCUGUCCCCAUACCCCGUCCGGUAUGGGCCCCAAAACCAUGAACCUCAAUACCCCGUCCAGUAUGAGGGUGAAACGGGCUGUCCCCAUACCCCGUCCGGUAUGGGCGCCAAAACACAUAAGGUCUCCAUACCCCGUCCGGUAUGAGAGACCACGUUCCCGGUAGGGUUCCCUACGGACCCGGUCCGUCCACCAUCUUCCAGGAUACCUAGUCAGGCUGUCCACAUUAUCCGUUUGCCAAUUCACAUAACCUUUUAUCCCUUUUUCUUUAGUCACCAUCAUGAAGUCACACACAAACAUGCAAACCAGUAGUUCAUGCCAACAAGACAACACACAACAUUGGGUUCUCAGUCAUUCAGUCCAUAAUCAAUGAAACAGUGAUACAUGCACACGAAACUAUGAAAUAAAAAUAUCAGACAUCAUACUGCAUUUAAAACUAUAACAUAGAACAAACGAUAACUGACCGACAAAUACACUAGACUCGGGCUCCAUUAGCAACCUUAAAUAAUUUCACAUAGCUAUUGAUUCAUGAAAUACCAUUUUAUCAUUUAUUGCACUUUAAUACCGUGAUAGGAAAUAGGGUGAGGAAUCCUUACUUGUUUUCGGGACCCGAAUAGGCUUUUCCGAGCGCCUGCGGGUUAUCCCUAAAUUUCUUGAAUUUUUUUCCGAAAAACUGAAACACGCUACCGGUACCUGUACAUGUCCCAAAAAUCUCAGAAUCAGACCUAGGGCCCCUUUCGGCCAAUAUCGCAAUUCCGGCACGGCAGUUCCGCCGUGCUCCGGCGACGGUGCCGCAGCUGAUUCGCCUCAGGUUGGCCGUUUUCGGCCGAAUUCGGCUACACUUGCAUCGGUCCAUGCGAUAAAACAACCUUAGGGCCCUCGGGGGGCCAAAAAAAUUACAAAAAACCGAAGCUUACCGGCGGCGGUGCUCUCGGGUGCAGCGGCUCUCCGGUGUGGUUCGUGUUUUGGUGAUUUGGCUCUGAACCUGUAGAGAAAAGAAUGGUGAUCACGGUGAUAUAAAAAUUGUAUCAAACGGAGGCCGGGAAGGGCCUCAUCGGAGGCAAAAAUCGAGGAGGGGUGCGGCGGCGAUGCUGGGUUUCGGUCGUGUUUUUCGGCCGUUUGGUCGAGAGUUUGGCUCUGAUUUGGCCACAGGGGAACUCAGCAUUGAAAAACGAGCCGGGGGUAUGAAAUU